CUAUUACUCCCUCCGUCCAACAAAGGAUGUCUCAACUUUGACUAAAUUUGAAUGCAUCUAUACACUAAGUCAUGUCUAAAUACAUCCAAAUUUUAACAAACUUGAGACAUCUUUUGUUGGACGGAGGGAGUAUUAU
rnacentral:pre_miRNA from 1 species